rnacentral:rRNA from 1 species
GCCAGCCCGCUACAGAAACUCAAAGGACUUGACGGGGCCCGGCGACAAGCGUGGAGCAUGUGGUUUAAUUCGAAGCAACGCGAAGAACCUUACCAGGCCUUGACAUGCAGAGAACUUCCAGAGAUGGAUUGGUGCCUUCGGGAACUCUGACACAGGUGCUGCAUGGCUGUCGUCAGCUCGUGUCGCGAGAUGUUGGGUUAAGUCCCGUAACGAGCGCAACCCUUGUCCUUAGUUACCAGCACGUUAUGGUGGGCACUCUAAGGAGACUGCCGGUGACAAACCGGAGGAAGGUGGGGAUGACGUCAAGUCAUCAUGGCCCUUACGGCCUGGGCUACACACGUGCUACAAUGGUCGGUACAAAGGGUUGCCAAGCCGCGAGGUGGAGCUAAUCCCAUAAAACCGAUCGUAGUCCGGAUCGCAGUCUGCAACUCGACUGCGUGAAGUCGGAAUCGCUAGUAAUCGUGAAUCAGAAUGUCACGGUGAAUACGUUCCCGGGCCUU